CUACGGGUCGCUGCAGUGAGGAAUAUUGCACAAUGGGGGGAACCCUGAUGCAGCAACGCCGCGUGGAGGAUGACGCAUUUCGGUGUGUAAACUCCUUUUAUAUGUCAAGAAAAUGACGGUAGCAUAUGAAUAAGCACCGGCUAACUCCGUGCCAGCAGCCACGGUAAUACGGAGGGUGCAAGCGUUACUCGGAAUCACUGGGCGUAAAGGACGCGUAGGCGGGUUGGAAAGUCAGGUGUGAAAUCCUACAGCUUAACUGUAGAACUGCACUUGAAACUUCUAAUCUAGAGUAUGGGAGGGGGAGAUGGAAUUAGUGGUGUUGGGGUAAAAUCCGUAGAUAUCACUAGGAAUACCUAAAGCGAAGGCGAUCUCCUGGAACAUUACUGACGCUAAGGCGUGAAAGCGUGGGGAGCAAACAGGAUUAGAUACCCUAGUAGUC
rnacentral:rRNA from 1 species